GACGAACGCUGGCGGCGUGCUUAACACAUGCAAGUCGAGCGGUAAGGCCCUUUCGGGGGUACACGAGCGGCGAACGGGUGAGUAACACGUGGGUGACCUGCCCUCAGCUCUGGGAUAAGCCUGGGAAACCGGGUCUAAUACCGGAUAUGACUCCAUGACGCAUGUUGUGGGGUGGAAAGCCUUGUGCGGCUGAGGAUGGGCCCGCGGCCUAUCAGCUUGUUGGUGGGUGAUGGCCUACCAAGGCGACGACGGUAGCCGGCCUGAGAGGGCGACCGGCCACACUGGGACUGAGACACGGCCCAGACUCCUACGGGAGGCAGCAGUGGGGAAUCUUGCGCAAUGGGCGAAAGCCUGACGCAGCGACGCCGCGUGAGGGAUG
rnacentral:rRNA from 1 species